CCGCCCUUAGCUCAGCUGGUAGAGCAACGGACUCUUAAUCCGCGGGUCGUAGGUUCGAAUCCUACAGGGCGGA
rnacentral:tRNA from 1 species